GUGCCAGCAGCCGCGGUAAGACGUAGGACACAAGCGUUAUCCGGAUUUACUGGGCGUAAAGCGUCUGCAGGCGGACAGGUAAGUUGGGCGUGAAAGCUCCGGGCCCAACCCGGAGAGGUCGUUCAAUACUGCGUGUCUAGAGGGUGUCAGAGGGGAGUGGAAUUUCCGGAGUAGCGGUAAAAUGCGCAGAGAUCGGAAAGAACACCAAUGGCGAAGGCAGCUCCCUGGGGCAACCCUGACGCUAAGAGACGAAAGCUAGGGGAGCGAACAGGAUUAGAGACCCUGGUAGUCCUAGCCCUAAACGAUGGAUGCUGGAUGUGGGGCCAUAGCGCUCCGUGUCGAAGCGAACGCGUUAAGCAUCCCGCCUGGGGACUACGGCCGCAAGGUUAAAACUCAAACGAAUUGACGGGACCCCGCACAAGCAGCGGAGCGUGUGGUUUAAUUCGAUGCUACACGAAGAACCUUACCUGGGUUUGACAUCUAGGUGGUAGUGAAGCGAAAGCGGAGCGACCCUUCGGGGAGCCUAGACAGGUGCUGCAUGGCUGUCGUCAGCUCGUGCCGUGAGGUGUCGGGUUAAGUCCCGUAACGAGCGCAACCCUUGCCCUCCGUUAUACGUGUCAGAGGGGACUGCCGGCGGUAAGCCGGAGGAAGGUGGGGAUGACGUCAAGUCAGCAUGGCCUUUAUAUCCAGGGCUACACACACGCUACAAUGGCCAGUACAAAGGGCAGCGAAGCCGCGAGGUGGAGCGAAUCCCAGCAAAGCUGGUCGUAGUUCGGAUUGCAGGCUGCAACCCGCCUGCAGAAGCUGGAGU
rnacentral:rRNA from 1 species